rnacentral:rRNA from 1 species
UACAGAGGUCUCAAGCGUUGUUCGGAUUCAUUGGGCGUAAAGGGUGCGUAGGCGGCGCGGUAAGUCGGGUGUGAAAUCUCGGGGCUUAACUCCGAAACUGCAUUCGAUACUGCCGUGCUUGAGGACUGGAGAGGAGACUGGAAUUUACGGUGUAGCGGUGAAAUGCGUAGACAUCGUAAGGAAGACCAGUGGCGAAGGCGGGUCUCUGGACAGUUCCUGACGCUGAGGCACGAAGGCCAGGGGAGCAAACGGG